rnacentral:rRNA from 1 species
GACGAACGCUGGCGGCGUGCUUAACACAUGCAAGUCGAACGGAAAGGCCCUGCUUUUGUGGGGUGCUCGAGUGGCGAACGGGUGAGUAACACGUGAGUAACCUGCUCUUGACUUUGGUAUAACUUCAGGAAAGUGGGGCUAAUACCGGAUAGGAGCUCCUGCUCCAUGGUGGGCGUUGGAAAGUCUCGGCGGUUGGGGAUGGACUCGCGGCUUAUCAGCUUGUUGGUGGGGUAGUGGCUUACCAAGGCUUUGACGGGUAGCCGGACUGAGAGGGUGACAGGCUACAUUGGGACUGGGAUGCGGGCCGGGCUGAUACGUGAGGCAGGAGUGGAGAAUAGAGCAAAAUGGGCGGAAUCGUGAUGGAGCAACGCCGGGUGCGGGAUGCCGGCUUUCGGGUAGGAAACGGCUUUCGCCUGUGACGAAGCGUGAGUGACGGUAAUAGGUAAAGAAGCACCGGCUAACUACGG